GACGAACGCUGGCGGCGUGCUUAACACAUGCAAGUCGAGCGGAAAGGCCCUUCGGGGUACUCGAGCGGCGAACGGGUGAGUAACACGUGAGUAACCUGCCCCAGACUUUGGGAUAACCCUCGGAAACGGGGGCUAAUACCGGAUACGACACAGCUUCGCAUGGGGUCUGUGUGGAAAGUUUUUCGGUUUGGGAUGGGCUCGCGGCCUAUCAGCUUGUUGGUGGGGUGAUGGCCUACCAAGGCGACGACGGGUAGCCGGCCUGAGAGGGCGACCGGCCACACUGGGACUGAGACACGGCCCAGACUCCUACGGGAGGCAGCAGUGGGGAAUAUUGUACAAUGGGCGGAAGCCUGAUGCAGCGACGCCGCGUGAGGGAUGACGGCCUUCGGGUUGUAAACCUCUUUCAGCAGGGACGAAGCGUAAGUGACGGUACCUGCAGAAGAAGCGCCGGCCAACUACGUG
rnacentral:rRNA from 1 species